rnacentral:lncRNA from 1 species
AUUUUUUUGAGGAAGAUCAGCCCUGAGCUAACAUCUGCUGCCAAUCUUCCUCUUUUUGCUGAGGAAGACUGGCCCUGAGCUAACAUCCAUGCCCACCUUCCUCUACUUUAUAUGUGGGAGGCCUGCCACAGCGUGGCUUGAUAAACGUGAGUAGGUCCACACCCGGGAUCCGAACUGGUGAACCCUGGGCUGCUGAUGCAGAACAUGCAAACUUAACCACUGUGCCACCAGGCCAGCCCCAUGGUAUUAACAGCGCAUGUGAUCCUUUAAAAUAAAGAAGCUGGAGUUUGAAGAGGUGGAAUCACUUGUCCAGGGUUACUCAGCCAGACAAGGACCAGAACCAGUGCUUGGGUGUUUCACCUCCAAGUCCAGCCACCUUUCCACUACAUCACGAGGUGCCUCGGACAGAGCACCCGGUUAGGAGGUCCUCCCAGCAGGGAGGUCGUAGGGCGGUGGCUUUGGGUAUAGGAGGAGAUGUCGUGAGCUAAGAUGAGGGUGCCUGUCUCAGGGGCGCAGCUCUAAAAGCAUCGUGGCAGGCGCGCCAGCGAGUUAGCCAUGAGGUCAGGAGCAGCACGAUGUCAGUCCUGGCAGACGUGUGGAGCAUGGAGCCACACGGAGACUUGAGUUCAAAGCGAAGUCUCAGCAGAUGUGGGUAGAGCAGAGAGUCAGCCUGGCCUGGCGGCCACCGUAACAGGAUUCUGGUCCUGGAAGCCUCACUUUGGGACUUUGGGUCAGUCAUUUAAACUCUUUGAGCCUCA